UGGAAGCCUGAAGGAAAAAAUUGCUUUUGUAUUAGCAGCCAUAGUGCCACCUUUUAGAUGCAGAACACAUCACUAGCAAAACGUUUGGAUUACAAUGAACCAACAGUUCCCCGUUAGAGGCAUGCAAGCAAACAAGAGCAUUAACCAAUGCCAAAACAUUACAUAUGCUGGCCAUCAGCUGAUCCUGUUACAUUUAGCUGGUAGACUCAGCACCCUCUCUACCUGAUCUGCUUAGGAAAGGAAGAAAGCUUCGUGAACAUGAGGCGACAGCCAUGAUUAAAGAACAGAUGCAAGAAGAGAUACAGAGUUGCUGUCAGCCCCUGACCUACCUUGAACAGCAGGUUACUUUGCAUACAGCCAGGAAUACUAAUUCAUUCCUGCUUUUAUCUGUGCUUCAGUCAGGUAUUUUCACUGCAGGUGUCAGCUUGUGGAGGAAGCAACUCCAGAAUGACAAAGCUUGAAAAAUGAAGCUGACAACUGAAACCAGAGCCUUUGCUGAAGUUCUGAAGAGCCACACCAUGAAACAAGGAAAGCAGAAAGCAGCUGUUGGCAUUUCUACUUAAGAGGAAGCCCUUGAAGCCCUGACUCAAGAUCCAGUUGCAUCACCCUCAUCUGCAGAGGCUUCUCUGUCUCAGAGAAGUCACCCCAGGGGAAGGCAAAUCAACCUCUAGACGGGGUAAAUGUACUUGCUGUUCUCUGUUCUGAGCCUGCAUACUGAAAAGUUGUCUUCCAAGUAGUUUUUAUCCGCACCGAGUUCUUCAUUCUGCCCACCACCUGUAACAAGAGAUGACACCCCAAACAACCUCAUUUUAAGUAUCAUUCAACAACAAUCCCUUUGGCAAGAAGCACUGAGCACUGAGUUGCAGUUUCAGCUGCUACAAAUUUGAUUUCAGUACUCCAAACACUCUAGAAUAGAGCAGAUACUGCAGAGCAACAGCUGCAGACUGAGCCAGCCUACUUGCUUGCUGUUCUGAUGGAGAAGCAAUACACCACAGUGAAAGGUGAAGCUCACACUCAGCCCCACUGACCAGAGAAGGAGCAGCAGCUGCUAUCGCACACUUCACACAACAGAAGGCAGAGACAGCCAAAGACACGAGGGAACACCUCUGGGCUUAAGUGAUGUUAAAAGAGGAGCAGGAUAUUCUGUUAUCUGUGCCUCACGCCAUUCAGCAAACAUUCAGAUAUGGCGAUUACUUACCAAAAUAAUUGGAAGUGGCCACUCUGUCAGGGGAAGUUUGCAGCCAUGCAAUCCCAUACGUCAGAAGGUGUUGUUUCAGAUAUUUGCUCGAAUCAGAAGAAAACUGAAGGCCGGUUUUUAUUUACUCCAGACUCUUCUUUUGGUUUCUGCAAUCGUCCCUCAGUGAUUGGAAAGAUUGCUUUGAACAAUGUGAGGGCAGCUGUGGGACUUAUCUCAAAUACUUCCAAUUGUUUAUUUUUUUACAAGUUCUAUUUCUUGUCCAACAUUUUUUUUAGUGCUCUAGCACUCAGUAAGAGUUAUAGUGUUGAAAUAAAUCUGGAUUAAGCAAACAGCUCGAUUUGAAUAGUAAACACAGACACCCUUCCUGCUAGCUCAGCUCAAUGAUCAUAGUUUAAAU